ACCAGAAUGAUGGAAAUGGUAUACAUGCUAGGUUUAGGUUCUAGUUCUUUUUAAAGAAUAGGGGUUCAAGUCCCCUUUCUGGUA
rnacentral:tRNA from 1 species